rnacentral:rRNA from 1 species
CCUACGGGCGGCAGCAGUGGGGAAUAUUGGACAAUGGGGGCAACCCUGAUCCAGCCAUGCCGCGUGUGUGAAGAAGGCCCUCGGGUUGUAAAGCACUUUCAGUGAGGAAGAACGCCUGGUGGUUAAUACCCAUCAGGAAAGACAUCACUCACAGAAGAAGCACCGGCUAACUCCGUGCCAGCAGCCGCGGUAAUACGGAGGGUGCGAGCGUUAAUCGGAGUUACUGGGCGUAAAGCGCGCGUAGGUGGCUUGAUAAGCCGGUUGUGAAAGCCCCGGGCUCAACCUGGGAACGGCAUCCGGAACUGUCAAGCUAGAGUGCAGGAGAGGAAGGUAGAAUUCCCGGUGCAGCGGUGAAAUGCGUAGAGAUCGGGAGGAAUACCAGUGGCGAAGGCGGCCUUCUGGACUGACACUGACACUGAGGUGCGAAAGCGUGGGUAGCAAACAGGAUUAGAUACCCCGGUAGUC